rnacentral:rRNA from 1 species
CCUACGGGGGGCAGCAGUGGGGAAUUUUGCGCAAUGGGGGAAACCCUGACGCAGCAACGCCGCGUGCGGGACGAAGGCCCUCGGGUCGUAAACCGCUUUCAGCAGGGAAGACCACGACGGUACCUGCCGAAGAAGCUCCGGCUAACUACGUGCCAGCAGCCGCGGUAAUACGUAGUGGGCGAGCGUUAUCCGGAUUUAUUGGGUUUAAAGGGUGCGUAGGCGGAUCGUUAAGUCAGUGGUCAAAUUGAGGGGCUCAACCCCUUCCCGCCAUUGAAACUGGCGUUCUUGAGUGGAAGAGAAGUAUGCGGAAUGCGUGGUGUAGCGGUGAAAUGCAUAGAUAUCACGCAGAACCCCGAUUGCGAAGGCAGCAUGCCGGCUUCCGACUGACGCUGAAGCACGAAAGCGUGGGGAUCGAACAGGAUUAGAUACCCCAGUAGUC